UACGGAGGGUGCGAGCGUUGUCCGGAAUCAUUGGGCGUAAAGGGCGCGUAGGUGGCCCGGUCAGUCCGUGGUGAAAGCGCGGGGGCUCAACCCCGCGUCGGCCAUGGAUACUGCUGGGCUGGAGCACUGUAGAGGCAGGCGGAAUUCCGGGUGUAGCGGUGGAAUGCGUAGAGAUCCGGAAGAACACCGGUGGCGAAGGCGGCCUGCUGGGCAGUUGCUGACACUGAGGAGCGAAAGCGUGGGGAGCGAACAGG
rnacentral:rRNA from 1 species